UUACCUUUCCUGUAGCUAAGUUGGUCGAGCAUUGCGUUAGCAGCGCAAAAGGUCAUACUAGCUUGAAUGCACAUUGGGUCGCUUGGAUAAAAAUCGUUAUUAGGGUCUGUUUAGAAUUACAAACAUUUUUGUAGUAAGCUGUGCACGAGGGCUUGGGCCAAAAUGCCAGAUAAGAAAAAAAUGCAAAUAUGAGUGGGUAAAAAUGUUAGACUUAAGUAUGUUUUAUAUUCUAUUGUAGGUUAAUGUAGUUUAAAAUGGGUUGCAAGUUGCAUGCUUAUAUAUACACAUACUGUAUAUAAAGACAUCUAACUCGCCCUGUUCCUCUUUUUCUCAGACUAAAUUCUCUGUCUCGCUCUCUCUCCUCUAUAUUUCCUCUGAGAAAACAGCAGAAGUGUUUGACUGAGGAGGCGUAUCCAGGAAAUAGUGGCAGGCCCUGACUUCCCGUGUGACAGGUGCACGAUGCCGAGCCUGACAGCUGCUCUCUCUCUCUCCUCUCUCUCUUGCUAUGGCCAGCUGCAGUAUUGCUCUUGUUUGCUUUGGCUGUUGUCAUUACAGCUUGCUGAUUUAUGGAGCACAAAAGACUGAAAACUGCCCAUAACAUACACAAACUACCGCAAAGACACAUGCAUAAUCUGAAUGGAUCCACAGUUUUCCAUACAGUUAAGACUACUACAAAUACACAAUUUCAAACCUUCAAAAGAAAUUGCAUGUCCUUGAAAACUCAUUAGACAGAAUGAAGUCUUUGGAUUUGAUGCUUCAUUGCCACUCACAGUGAUGUGUUAAACAGCAGCACUGACAGGUAUCGCCUUUACUUCAUUCACAGCGAGUCAGAAAAACAAACCACUGGAUGCUUGUGGGAUGAGAGAGUAACGGUUGAGAGCUAGAUGAAAGUCUUUUAGAUGGUUUGUGGGGAUAAUUCGGCACAUCAGAUAUGUUUUGUAUAAAAAACAAUAUGGGCACCCAUGACCCCCUUAUGAUUUAAUCUCUUCAGAUGCUUUAAUGGUGCCACAUCUAUCUUUAUUGUGUUGAAUAUUUCUUUUCAUUUUUAAUUCUUAUCUGUCAUUUGCAUCUUUAUCUCCAGUUCCCAUACACAUCUGCCAUACAAUCUCUCUCGACAUCAUUUCCAGUUUGAUGUACUUAGUAAAACAUAUGGAAAUAAUAUCUUACAGUAUAAAAGUGAAUGUGUAGCUUUCGAACUAAGCACAAAUCUCUGCAGGAAUUUAUAGCAACAACCUCUUCUUAUAUAUUCCUCCAUAAAUCUUGAACAUUCCACAAAUCCUAUUUACUCACUUUUUCUAGAUGAAAAUUAAACAUCAAGUUUGAUACCUGGCUGUGGAACGAUGAAUAAUCGGAGGACAGUCCCGUGUUAGACACAAGAGACUGAAUCUCCGCUCAAACCCAUUUCAAGAAUGACAGAACAGUCCAGCGCUCCGCUUCUGUUUCCAUGAGAUAACGGCUGCUUUAAUUUGUGCAAAUACGGCACAUGGAUAAACAGGCCUGAAACCAUGGCGAUUGCCCCCUUGCGUGCUCUCGCUGGCACUCCCGCCCGGAGCCUGGGGUUUCCACGGUAGGACGGCCGGACGGGCUUUUGGGAUCGUACAGUUGGAUUCCACACAAUGAGAUAUGGGAGAUAUGAAAUCAGGACAAGACAGAUUAGACUACAACCUGCAGUUCGGUGCAGCGUAUCGACAUGGCAACCAUGUGUCAUAAGGUUACUCGAGGGUUAGGGUACCUGACCGAUCAGGUGGCUGUGCUUACGGAUGACUACCUGACCCCACCCUUCAGAUUUCACUUCCUCCCUCCCCCCGUUGAGCUGCCGGCCGGCUGCUCGCACCCGUCUUCCGCCCACCGCCAUCUGCUCCUCUCGUUAAUUACGAGACGGCAAACUUCACCUGGAACUGCACUCAAAUUACAAUAAUUACCUCCAGCGCACACCACGUCCCCUCUCCACACUGCAAGAUGGUGACACGGGGACAACCUCAAAGUGGGUGUCCUUUACUAGUAAACUAAAGAUGCGUCACAGCCGUACGAGCUGACAUAUGUCCAUGUGACAAUUUUAGCCUCCCAUGCAGAUCUUUCACAAUGCAAAUAUUCAUGUAUAAUGUUUCACCUAAGAAUACUUAUUUUUUUUUGCUGUCAUUGCAAAUAGUUUUUUCUAAAAUAAAACUUUCUACUGAAGAG